GACGAACGCUGGCGGCGUGCCUAAUACAUGCAAGUCGAACGAGAGCGACCGGUGCUUGCACUGGUCAAUCUAGUGGCGAACGGGUGAGUAACACGUGGGUAACCUGCCCAUCAGAGGGGGAUAACAUCCGGAAACGGAUGCUAAAACCGCAUAGGUCUUCGAACCGCAUGGUUUGAAGAGGAAAAGAGGCGAAAGCUUCUGCUGAUGGAUGGACCCGCGGUGCAUUAGCUAGUUGGUGAGGUAACGGCUCACCAAGGCCGUGAUGCAUAGCCGACCUGAGAGGGUGAUCGGCCACAUUGGGACUGAGACACGGCCCAAACUCCUACGGGAGGCAGCAGUAGGGAAUCUUCCGCAAUGGACGCAAGUCUGACGGAGCAACGCCGCGUGAGUGAAGAAGGUUUUCGGAUCGUAAAACUCUGUUGUUAGAGAAGAACAAGUGCUAGAGUAACUGUUAGCGCCUUGACGGUAUCUAACCAGAAAGCCACGGCUAACUACGUG
rnacentral:rRNA from 1 species